CAAAGACAUCAUUAACAAGUUUGAUUGAUUUCAAACUUUUGAAAAACCAUAAACUUCAACUCGUAUUAUUUGUAGCAUACUUUUGUAUUUUCAGUUGUGGUUUGACCAUUACAUACAUUCCUCCGUUUGCUCGUGAAAACAACACUUCAGACGAAGAAAUAGCUAUCAUUGUUAUGCUUUUUGGAGCAUGUGAUGUUGUGGCUAGAUUCUCAAUUGCUUGGAUUUCAGAUUCUAAGAAAAUCAAAAGAACGAAUAUUUUAGGAAUUACUUUAUUAAUAACUGGUACCGUAACUAUGUUCAACAGUUUCUUUACUAAUUUUACCAGUUUUGCAAUGUUCUGCGUGGUGAACGGACUGUUUGGUUCUAUUUACUUUCCAUUUGUUCCUUUAUUAUUGGUAGACAGCGUCGGCGCCGAUAAUUUACCUUCUGCACUUUCUUUAUUGAUACUUGUGCACGGCAUAUCAAUAUCGAUCAUGGCACCAUUAAUGGGUAUGUUUUAAUUAUGUCCUAGUUAUUUGGAUUAUUUAUUUACUAGUAUUCUAAACUCUUUUGACACAGGCAUGACUUUGUUAUAUUUAGUCCAAAAAUCAUAAAGUUCAAUCAAAUAAAAAGUAAUCAGGAGAAAAAUAAAUUAGAAAAAAACCCUUUGAAAUUACAUAAACUGAAACCAUCGGAAAUGGUUUUUAUAUAUAACUGAACAUGUAAGCAGUGAAACACAAUUUGAUACAACAUUAAUGUCCUAUAACUUUGUUUAAAUUGCUCUACCGUCAGAGUUGAUUAUUUUAAAAAGAAAGGAUUAAAAAAAAUAUUCCAGAAAUACAUGCAAGGCAACAAACACAAAUCAAUGGGUUUCUGAUUUCCUUCGCACAUAUAUACUGAUGGAACUUUGAUAAAAAAAAAAAAAAUCCCCCCUUUCUAGUUGUACACAUGUAGUCAAGGGGAAGGUACCUCAUUGCAUCAGAUACUAGUAUACAGUUGUAUUUUCAUAUUUUCACUAUGUGUCAUUGUAUUGCAUUGUCACUAGUAUACUUUAUGUUUCCAGCUUUUCCUGAUCGUUUUACAGGUCAGAGUCAAACGUAUGCCGAUUAUGUGAGAGGAUAAAAAAGGGGGAUGCGUCAUAAGUACUAGUAUUCUUAAAUUUGCAUAUAUUUAAUUCUUCUUUUAGGUUAUAUACGAGAUAGUACGGGAUCUUACAAUGUUACGUUUUAUGUCAUUGGUUGUGGGAUGAUUAUCGGAGCUUUAGCAUUGUUUUGUGAUUCUUGGGUCAUGAAAUUAGAGGAACAGAGAUUACAAAAGAACAGAGAAGUUGAUAGCGAGGUGGAAGAACAGAAAUUUCAGAAAAACGAUAUAGGCCAUGAGGAAGUGGUGGCCGUCAAUGGAGAAUCGACAAA
rnacentral:lncRNA from 1 species